AACGCACAUUGCGCCCGCCAGUACUCUGGCGGGCAUGCCUGUCCGAGCGUCGCCUCAACCCUCGAGCCCCCCCGGGGGCCCGGCGUUGGGGGACGGCCCCGCGCCCUCGCCGGCAGCGGGCGCCGCCCCCUAAAUCCAUCGGCGGCCCCGCCGCGCCCUCCCAUGCGCAGUAGCACUUGCUGACGCUCGCAGAGGGAGCGCGGCGCGGCCACGCCGCAAAACACCCCACCGACGGAGACGCUGACCUCGGAUCAGGUAGGAAUACCCGCUGAACUUAA
rnacentral:misc_RNA from 1 species